CUUCGAUGGACACUGCGGCCUAUCAGCUCUAGUGAGUAUGUCCACCCAUGGUAAAGUCGUUAGCCGGCCUUGAGAGCGCUGAACCCGGUCCAACACUUGGGAAUUGAGACUACCUGGUCUCGACUCCCUCACCGGGAGGCAGCAAGUGUGGUAUAUUUGCACCAAUCGCCGCCAAGCCUGAUGCAGCGACGGCGCGUGAGGGAUGACUGCCUUUCGGGUGUAAUCCUCCUUUCAGUAGGAAGAAAGCGAAGUGACCGUACCUGCAGAAGAAGCACCGGCUUACUACGUGCCAGCAGCCGCGUAAUACGUAGGGUGCGAGCGUUAUCCCGAAAUUAUUGGCGUAAAGAGCUCGUAGGCCGUUUGUCGCGUCUGUUCGUGAAAGUCCGGGGGCUCAACCCCGGAUCUGCGGUGGGUACGGGCAGACUAGAGUGCAGUAGGGGAGACUGGAAUUCCUGGUGUAGCGGUGGAAUGCGCAGAUAUCAGGAGGAACACCGAUGGCGAAGGCAGGUCUCUGGGCUGUAACUGACGCUGAGGAGCGAAAGCAUGGGGAGCGAACAGGAUUAGAUACCCUGGUAGUCCAUGCCGUAAACGUUGGGCACUAGGUGUGGGGACCAUUCCACGGUUUCCGCGCCGCAGCUAACGCAUUAAGUGCCCCGCCUGGGGAGUACGGCCGCAAGGCUAAAACUCAAAGGAAUUGACGGGGGCCCGCACAAGCGGCGGAGCAUGCGGAUUAAUUCGAUGCAACGCGAAGAACCUUACCAAGGCUUGACAUGUUCUCGAUCGCCGUAGAGAUACGGUUUCCCCUUUGGGGCGGGUUCACAGGUGGUGCAUGGUUGUCGUCAGCUCGUGUCGUGAGAUGUUGGGUUAAGUCCCGCAACGAGCGCAACCCUCGUUCCAUGUUGCCAGCACGUAAUGGUGGGGACUCAUGGGAGACUGCCGGGGUCAACUCGGAGGAAGGUGAGGACGACGUCAAAUCAUCAUGCCCCUUAUGUCGGGGCUUCACGCAUGGCU
rnacentral:rRNA from 1 species